rnacentral:lncRNA from 1 species
AGCUGACACAGACACUCCCAAGAAGCUCAUGUUUCGGACUUAAAAUAUUAUAAGUGAAAAUAGCAUGGAUAGUGCAGUCUCUGAUGCAGCCAGUGAGCUGGAAGGCAAGGAUGGCAAAGAGGACCUUGAUCAGUUAGAAAAUGUCACUGUAGAGGAAGAGGAAGAGAUGCAGUCACGACAGCUAUUCCCUGAACAGCUGCCUGAAUUCAAAGUUGAGAGUGAAACCACUGUGGAGGCCAGUAAACUUCCCACAUUGGAACCAGAAGUGACACUGAGAUGGAGCCCAAAGAGAGCAGUGGCACCAAGUUGGAAGAACCCAUUGCUGAGGAAACACCAUCCCAGGAUGAAGAGGAGGGCGUGUCUGAUGUGGAGAGUGAGAGGAGCCAAGAACAGCCAGAUAAAACAGUGGAUAUAAGUGAUUUGGCCACCAAGCUACUGGACAGUUGGAAAGACUUAAAGGAGGUGUAUCGAAUUCCAAAGAAAAGUCAAACUGAAAAGGAGAGCACAGUAACUGAGCGAGGAAGAGAUGCUGUUGGACUCAGAGAUCAAACAGCUGCCCCAAAGACUCCUAACAGGUCAAGAGAGAGAGAUCUAGAUAAGCAGACUCAGAGUAAAGAGAAAAGGAAACGAAGGGGCUCCCUCUCACCACCUUCUUCUGCCUAUGAGCGGGGAACAAAAAGGUCAGAUGACAGGUAAGUGAUUGUGUUUUCUUUUUGGGGGCCAAGUCAGAAAGUAUCCAAGCCAGCAGAUGUGGUGACUUGUAAUCCUAGCACUCUAGGAGGUUGAGACAGGAGAAUUGCAAGGUCAAGGCAAAUCUGGGCAACUUAGAGACUUAGACUGUCUAAAAAGUUAGAAGGACUAGAAACGUUGCUCAGUGUGAAGGCCCUAGGUUCAGUCCCCAGUACUGCCACAAAAACAAAAACUAAAAACGGUGCCCAAGUGUCAUGCAGUUUGCUCUGAGUCUACUUCUGACUUUGGAUACCAGUGACUUUUGGAAUUAGUAUUAUGUCUUGAUGAGUGAUAAAUCUUAAAGGUUCUCAAUCUCAUUUGGAUAGUUUCUAUUUGAUAAUAUAUAAGUACUAUUUAGGGAACCAAAGAUUUAUUCUUUAAAGUGCAAUGGAGAUUGAUGGGAGAUAACUCUUCAAAAGUAAUGGUGUCAAAAGGCUGAGGCAGGAAGAUUGCAAAUUUGAGGCCAGCCUGGGCAAUUUAGGGAGACCUUGGCUUUAAAAAAUUUAAAAAUUUGGGGAUGUAGAGCACCCCUCCAUUCAGUCCUCAGCACCUUCCCCCAAAGUAAUAAUAAUUCUUCCAAAGUCAGAACUUUAAAGGUGAUGGUCUGCACUUGUAAUCCCAGGUACCCUGAAGGCUGAGGCGAGAGGAUCACAAAGUUUAAGACCAGCCUAGGCAAUUUAAAUUUUUUGAAAAAAAGAGAGGGAGCUAGGAAUAUAACUCAAUGGCAGUGUGCUUGCCUAACAUUCAAGGGCCUGCGUUCAAUCACCACUACCAUCAAAAAAAGGGGUAAGAACUUUGCUGAGCAUGGUGGCUCAUACCUGUAAUCCCAGCUACUUAGAGGGUGAGGCAGGAGAAUCACAAGAGUGAGGCCAGCCUGGGCAACUUACUUGUUUUCUAGUGAAUCUAGUGAACCUUGUGCCACACCAAUCAAAAUACUGAUUUAAAAAUACCAGAGACUCCCUUCUGCUGGUGGAAAAGCAAACCACAUUGAGAGCUAACAAGUAUUUCUUCCAUGGAAAUUCUUUUCAAGUUAAAUUUGCUUUUUAAAAAAACUAACAAAUAGGAUUUGUAUAAUUCAGUUGCCAGAAUUUUUUAAUUUUGGGCAGUGUAGAUAUUUAAUAGUAAUUCAUUGUGAUUUUAAUUUCAUUUCCCUGAUCACUAAAUAGAUCAAACAUCUUGUUAUGUUUAUUGGCC